CAGGUUUGUAAGAAAAUUUAAAUAAAAUUCAGACAGUCUCCUUGCAUCUUACGUCACAUUUAUUUAAUUUUUUAAAGAUUUUAUUUAUUUAUUCAUGAGAGACCCAGAGAGAGAGAGAGAGAGAGAGAGAGGAAGAGACACAGGCAGAGGGAGAAGUAGGCUCCCUGCAGGGAGCCCGACGUGGGACUGGAUCCCAGGGCCCCAAGGUCAUGCCCUGGGCUGAAGGCGGCACUAACCGCUGAGCCACCCGGGCUGCCCCUUACAUCACAUUUAAAAGGGUGAUCCUUCUCCUCUAAGAAAACUGUGCCCAGACAUUGGCAAGGACAUUGAUGUCGUGAAGCCAAGAGGCAGUAAUCAGGAAGACAGACCCAGAGACCAGGCAGCGUAGCCACAGCAGUGCGAGCCCUUCAGGAAGGAUGUUCUCCGCCUCCACAGGGGCUGUCAGGACCCCAACCUGCCAGGGGCAGCAUUUGGGGUCAGCUGCAAGAAAUAAGCAGGAUCUGCCUCAGAAUUUCUCAAAGUAUAUCUCAUAGAAUAGGUUUCAUUAAAACUUUCACACGAGUCAGCUAAGUUUUGGAUCGAGGGAAAUCCGGUUUCUUUACUGCAGGGAUCUUCAGCAUAUGGAUUUCACAAAAUUAUUUGACCACAGGACUUUUAUUCCCCAGGAAACUUAAAAAAUGCUAAUAAUUUCAAAGUGUUAAGAAGUAUUUUCCCUGAAUGGUAGGAGUAUGGCUGAUUUAUAUUUCUACUGUUUGCUUGUCUGUGUGUCAUUUAUCUUUUAUAGUGUCUACAUCCUGUUUUUAUGGUGAAGGAACAUAUUUUAAUACAGUGAAAACUCUCUGCCUCAGCACCGUUCAGAUUUGCUGGCUUUGGAGGAAAGAACCUGGGUUUCAAUUGUAAUCCUGCUUCGCUCCGCUCAGUGACCGUGGCCAAGGUACAUGGGCUCCUGGAGUCCCAGAGUCUUCACUGGGGAAAAGAACAAUGACCCCUUCAGGUCUGAAUCAGCCCAACAUGUUUCCAUGAACAAAUCUCAGCAAGCAAAGAGGGUCUUCUAGAUUAAAAGUUCCCUUUACACAAAAUAAUACUUAGCUAAAACAUGACAAAUAC
rnacentral:lncRNA from 12 species